rnacentral:lncRNA from 1 species
UUGACUUUGAUCUUCUUUAUCUUUGGUCAAUGCUUGUUGAUUAUCUCAUUCUAUUUCCAUUAAUGCACUUUAAUUCUUCAUCUUCUUCUUCUUCUUCUUCUUUUUUUCUUUUUUUGAUCAAUGAGUUAGAGAUUGGUGGUUAGCAUUGAUACAUGGAGGUUUAAUCUUCCUUGAUUCAAAUCUAAUUCAUUUUGAUCAUGGAUCAAAUGAAUGACUUUGCAUUAAGGAU